rnacentral:lncRNA from 1 species
CGGAGAAGCAAUAUAUGGCGUAAUAGAUGUUUGAGUGAUCAUUCUGUUUGCUGUAAUACUGUAGGGUGAUGGAUAAAAUCCAUUUUGUAAAGCAGCUGUGGUUGGAUCAUAAGUGAGUGUCAUUCCAGCAAGUCUCACCUCGCCUUCUCUGUGCCAUGCUCUUCCAUUCUGUAUGUAUUUAUUCUGAUUCUGUCUCUUUUUCUGUCCUCCAUCAGCAAACUUGCACAAUAAAGGUUCUGCAGGAACUGAGGAAGAAGAAAGAGUAUUACUUGCAGUACUAUUCAUAUAUAGGGAGGUACAAAUACGGAAGGAGAAGAAUACAUAAGUGAAAUGGCUUUCAAAUAUUUUUUCAAAUUUUUUCAAAAAUUUUCAAAUAUUUCCCCUCUCCUUGGAAGGCUCAGUAAUGU